UUAGUACUCUCUCCGUUCAAAAAUACUUGUUAUUGAAAUAGAUGUAUCUAGAUGUAUUUUAGUUCUAGAUACAUCAUUUUCAUCCAUUUUAAUAACAAAUAUUUCCGGAUGGAGGGAGUAGUAG
rfam:Triticum aestivum genome assembly, contig: Triticum_aestivum_CS42_TGACv1_scaffold_249071_3DL